rnacentral:rRNA from 1 species
GACGAACGCUGGCGGCGUGCUUAACACAUGCAAGUCGAACGGAAAGGCCCUGCUUUUGUGGGGUGCUCGAGUGGCGAACGGGUGAGUAACACGUGAGUAACCUGCCCUUGACUUUGGGAUAACUUCAGGAAACUGGGGCUAAUACCGGAUAGGAGCUCCUGCUGCAUGGUGGGGGUUGGAAAGUUUCGGCGGUUGGGGAUGGACUCGCGGCUUAUCAGCUUGUUGGUGGGGUAGUGGCUUACCAAGGCUUUGACGGGUAGCCGGCCUGAGAGGGUGACCGGCCACAUUGGCACUGAGAUAACGCCCAGACUCCUACGGGAGGCAGCAGUGGGGAAUAUUGCACAAUGGGCGGAAGCCUGAUGCAGCAACGCCGCGUGCGGGAUGACGGCCUUCGGGUUGUAAACCGCUUUCGCCUGUGACGAAGCGUGAGUGACGGUAAUGGGUAAAGAAGCACCGGCUAACUACGUG